GAUGAACGCUGGCGGGGGGCCUAAUACAUGCAAGUCGAGCGAACGGACGAGAAGCUUGCUUCUCUGAUGUUAGCGGCGGACGGGUGAGUAACACGUGGAUAACCUACCUAUAAGACUGGGAUAACUUCGGGAAACCGGAGCUAAUACCGGAUAAUAUUUUGAACCGCAUGGUUCAAAAGUGAAAGACGGUCUUGCUGUCACUUAUAGAUGGAUCCGCGCUGCAUUAGCUAGUUGGUAAGGUAACGGCUUACCAAGGCAACGAUGCAUAGCCGACCUGAGAGGGUGAUCGGCCACACUGGAACUGAGACACGGUCCAGACUCCUACGGGAGGCAGCAGUAGGGAAUCUUCCGCAAUGGGCGAAAGCCUGACGGAGCAACGCCGCGUGAGUGAUGAAGGUCUUCGGAUCGUAAAACUCUGUUAUUAGGGAAGAACAUAUGUGUAAGUAACUGUGCACAUCUUGACGGUACCUAAUCAGAAAGCCACGGCUAACUACGUG
rnacentral:rRNA from 1 species